CAAUAGCGUAUAUUAAAGUUGUUGCGGUAAAAAAGCUCGUAGUUGGAUUUCUACCGAAGAUAGCCGGUCGGGUCUUCGACCUUGUAUCUGGUUUUGUCUUUGGUAUCCUCAUAGGGAACGUUUCUGCGCUUUAUUGCGUGGUGCGGUAUCUAUGACUUUUACUUUGAGGAAAUUAGAGUGUUCACGGCAGGCAACCGCCUUGAAUAUAUUAGCAUGGAAUAAUAACAUAGGAUCUUCGUCCUAUUUUGUUGGUUUCUAGGGCUAAGAUAAUGAUUAAUAGGGAUAAUUGGGGGCAUCUGUAUCAACGCGUCAGAGGUGGAAUUCUUGGAUUGCGUUGCGACAAACUACUGCGAAAGCAUUUGCCAAGGAUGUUUUCAUUGA
rnacentral:rRNA from 1 species